rnacentral:rRNA from 1 species
AUUGAACGCUGGCGGCAGGCUUAACACAUGCAAGUCGAGCGGGGGAAGGUAGCUUGCUACCGGACCUAGCGGCGGACGGGUGAGUAAUGCUUAGGAAUCUGCCUAUUAGUGGGGGACAACAUCUCGAAAGGGAUGCUAAUACCGCAUACGUCCUACGGGAGAAAGCAGGGGAUCUUCGGACCUUGCGCUAAUAGAUGAGCCUAAGUCGGAUCAGCUAGUUGGUGGGGUAAAGGCCUACCAAGGCGACGAUCUGUAGCGGGUCUGAGAGGAUGAUCCGCCACACUGGGACUGAGACACGGCCCAGACUCCUACGGGAGGCAGCAGUGGGGAAUAUUGGACAAUGGGGGGAACCCUGAUCCAGCCAUGCCGCGUGUGUGAAGAAGGCCUUAUGGUUGUAAAGCACUUUAAGCGAGGAGGAGGCUACUUUAGUUAAUACCUAGAGAUAGUGGACGUUACUCGCAGAAUAAGCACCGGCUAACUCUGUGCCAGCAGCCGCGGUAAUACAGAGGGUGCGAGCGUUAAUCGGAUUUACUGGGCGUAAAGCGUG